CGAGCGUGAUGUUACUCCUUGCCGCAGAAGCCGGGGGAGUUGUACAGCACGCUUGUGCCCCUUUGACAGUGUGACCCUGCUGGGAGAUGGGGCAGGACUGCAGGACCAGGAGCCUAAUUAGCACCAUAAUGUUGCACUGAAAUGAGCCUAGAGUGAUAGUUGCGUUUUGCGCGUAAAUCGGGACAAAAUCCUGCUUUAGUACACGUAUGGCAUUGACUAACUUGUACGCAGAAACACACACUGGUUCUGAAAUCGGCCACCACUUCACGUGUCAUCCUUCCUCCUGCAUCUGUCCCUGCACUUCUUUAGCUGACGGAUGCUGCUGACUGAAAUACAGGUUUCCCCGCAGAGGGGCCCCUGUAGCUUGGCAUUCUCAGUGUAUUUGGACGGUGUGUACUUAGUUGGAGAAGGGGUCAGGAUUUCAUACUGAGAUUAUGUGGGUUUCUUGAAAACACUUCCAUACAUUUCAGUGUCUAAAAAGAGGCCAAGUUUGGGGCCAUCACUGCUGAGCUGCAAACCGGAAACUACAGGAAAAUUUAGCAGAAGCAACUUGUGGUACACCUGUGACAGUACCGAUACACCUGGGAGAAGAAUCGGGUGACCAACCACAUGGAAACAUUCGCUCCUCUCAGGUCUCCCAGGCACCCCCCAAGGACUUCUUCUCUGGGUUCUCACCUGUCAGUGCUAAGAUGAAGAAUGUUUUGUUUUGUUUCCAGCAUUGUCAUCCAAGCAGGAGGUGUAUGGGGAAGUUUCUGGGGCUGAGGUCUCCUUACAGAUCAUUGUGCUGGGUGCUGCUCCUUGACUAGGAUUAUUGGUGGGCUUGUGAAGAAUGAAAUUCAUCCCCCUCUUCUGCAUCAUCACACAAAUUAUACACUUUCCAUAAAGAAGAUAUUAAAGUAAAUUAAAGCAGUAAACCUCUAUAUAAGGACAAUCAAUCGUGUAACACAGCAUAAGGGCCAAUGCCACACUGACCACCUGAUGACAAGCAGCUCCUUUGGCAAGUACUGUCUUUUUACAGGCUGUCAACUGUUGUAUUCCUAAAAUUGCUAGGAUCUCAACUCCAGGGCUAAGGAGACAUGGGUUCUUCACAAACAAUUGCCAGUUUCUGAGCACAAUUUUGGAAGUUACUAAGCCCUGGUGAUUUUGAGUGGUACUCAGAGAUCCAGCACAUGGUCAGGUCACUCAGACUUGGCCGGCCAGGAGUUACCAGAGGUUGUGCAUAAGCUGAAUGGCAGUAAAAGUCUGGGUGCACACAGGCACAAUGUAAUUUGACCUAAUUUAAACCUCUCAU
rnacentral:lncRNA from 1 species